CAAAUUUUUUAAAAAACAGGAGGAGCUCAAAAAAAAUGAGUGGGCAUCGGCAACAAAAAGUUGCCGUAAUUCCAGCAGGACUGUAAAGUCUGCCCAGCUAUCUGUUUUUAAACUGAAUCAGCUGGGAUAUUGCCCAUUGCUGUUCAUGGGUCGUCAGGGCCGCAAUGGGAGGAUUUCUGCUGACCUCAUCCAUCAUGUGGCACAGAUGGAUGGGGUGGUGAAAGACAUCCUCCAGAAGAUGGGGAAGUUAUACAAACACCUGCUGAAAAAGUUGUUGCAAGCACCGAUGGCAACUCCUCCUCCCCCUCAUGCUGCUCCCGGAAUGGACUGCGCCCCUACCCCGAUGGACACUCAGCCUGGACCAGGACCAGAAGAAUUCAUUCUUGAACUUCAGCCUGUUAAGCAUCCAGGCAUCUCUGCUCUAUCCUCCUCCUCCCUCUCCUCCCUGCCUCCUCCUCCUCCAUCUUCUCUCUC